AUGAACGCUGGCGGCGUGCCUAAUACAUGCAAGUCGAGCGAACAGACGAGGAGCUUGCUCCUUCGACGUUAGCGGCGGACGGGUGAGUAACACGUAGGUAACCUACCUAUAAGACUGGGAUAACUUCGGGAAACCGGAGCUAAUACCGGAUAAUAUUUCGAACCGCAUGGUUCGAUAGUGAAAGAUGGCUUUGCUCUCACUUAUAGAUGGACCUGCGCCGUAUUAGCUAGUUGGUAAGGUAACGGCUUACCAAGGCAACGAUACGUAGCCGACCUGAGAGGGUGAUCGGCCACACUGGAACUGAGACACGGUCCAGACUCCUACGGGAGGCAGCAGUAGGGAAUCUUCCGCAAUGGGCGAAAGCCUGACGGAGCAACGCCGCGUGAGUGAUGAAGGUCUUCGGAUCGUAAAACUCUGUUAUUAGGGAAGAACAAACGUGUAAGUAACUGUGCACGUCUUGACGGUACCUAAUCAGAAAGCCACGGCUAACUACGUG
rnacentral:rRNA from 1 species